GACGAACGCUGGCGGCGUGCUUAACACAUGCAAGUCGAACGGUAAGGCCCUUCGGGGUACACGAGUGGCGAACGGGUGAGUAACACGUGGGUGAUCUGCCCUGCACUUCGGGAUAAGCCUGGGAAACUGGGUCUAAUACCGGAUAGGACCACUGCCUGCAUGGGUGGUGGUGGAAAGCUUUUGCGGUGUGGGAUGGGCACGCGGCCUAUCAGCUUGUUGGUGGGGUGAUGGCCUACCAAGGCGACGACGGGUAGACGGCCUGGGAGGGUGACCGGCCACGGUGGGACUGAGAUACGGCCCAGACGCCUACUGGGGGCAGCAGUGGGGAAUAUUGCACGAUGGGCGCAAGCCUGAUGCAGCGACGCCGCGUGAGGGAUGACGGCCUUCGGGUUGUAAACCUCUUUCAGCUCCGACGAAGCGCAAGUGACGGUAGGUGCAGAAGAAGGACCGGCCGACUACGUGCCAGCCGCCGCCGUAAAAC
rnacentral:rRNA from 1 species